UGUUCGGGAACUGAUGGCGGUGCGCCUGGCGUGCCAGGCAUUUCUCAAUCUCCUACGUGGCCGCUGUGUGUUAGUUCUCAUCGACAACACCACGGCCAUGUUUUACAUCAACAAGCAAGGAGGAGCACGUUCGUCAAUUCUAUGCCAAGAGGCCAUUCGCCUGUAGGACUUCUGCAUCGCCCACUCAAUCCAUCUCAUGGCAUCGUUCCUCCCUGGAGUCCAGAACACUUUAGCGGACCGACUCAGCAGGUCCUUUCAAACUCACGAGUGGUCUAUCCGGCCGGACAUCAUACAUUCCGUCUUCCAGAAGUGGGGGUUUCCCCAGGUAGACCUGUUUGCAUCUCGAGACAACAGGAAGUGCCAUGUGUUCUGCUCCCUGCAAGGUCGAGCUCCGGGCUCCCUCUCGGAUGCGUUUCUCCUUCCCUGGAAAGACCACCUGUUUUAUGCCUUCCCUCUGUUUCCUCUGGUCCACAAGGUACUGCUCAAAUUGCGCAGAGACCAGGCACAGGUAAUUCUGGUCGCCCCAGCGUGGCCGAGACAACAUUGGUACACCACACUGUUGGAACUCUCGGUUCAGACACCGAUCCCGCUUCCAUUAUGUCCAGAUCUCAUCUCGCAGGACCACGGCCGGCUGCGUCACCCCGACCUGCAAUGACUCCACCUCACGGCGUGGUUGCUCCAUGGUUCACCCAGGCAGAGCAACAAUGCUCGCACUCGGUCCAACAGAUUCUGCUGAGCAGUAGGAAGCCUUCAACACGGACCACAUACUUGGCCAAGUGGAAGCGGUUCUCCUGUUGGUGUGAACAACGAGCCACGUCCCCGUUACAGACACCUAUUCCUCUUAUAUUGGAAUAUCUCCUCUCCCUAAAACAGCAAGGGUUGGCGAUAUCUUCAAUUAGAGUUCAUCUGGCCGCUAUAUCAGCCUUUCACCCAGGAGAACUCGCGUCCUCAGUAUUCUCUAACCCGAUGGUCGUUAGAUUCCUCAAGGGCUUAGACCGGAUGUACCCACAACAACAUCAGCCCGUUCCGACGUGGGACCUCAACCUGGUUCUCUCCAAGCUCACAGGUCCUCCAUUCGAGCCACUGGCCACCUGCUCACUUUUGUACCUAUCCUGGAAGACAGCCUUCCUCGUAGCCAUCACCUCAGCAAGGCGCGUUUCUGAACUCAGGGCGCUUACAUCCGAGCCCCCUUAC
rnacentral:lncRNA from 1 species